UACGGAAGGCAGCAGUGGGGAAUAUUGCACAAUGGGCGCAAGCCUGAUGCAGCCAUGCCGCGUGUAUGAAGAAGGCCUUCGGGUUGUAAAGUACUUUCAGCGGGGAGGAAGGCGAUGCGGUUAAUAACCGCGUCGAUUGACGUUACCCGCAGAAGAAGCACCGGCUAACUCCGUGCCAGCAGCCGCGGUAAUACGGAGGGUGCAAGCGUUAAUCGGAAUUACUGGGCGUAAAGCGCACGCAGGCGGUCUGUUAAGUCAGAUGUGAAAUCCCCGGGCUUAACCUGGGAACUGCAUUUUGAACUGGCAGGCUUGAGUCUUGUAGAGGGGGUAGAAUUCCAGGUGUAGCGGUGAAAUGCGUAGAGAUCUGGAGGAAUACCGGUGGCGAAGGCGGCCCCUGGACAAAGCUGACGCUCAGGGUGCGAAAGCGUGGGGAGCAAACGAGGAUUAGGAUA
rnacentral:rRNA from 1 species